rnacentral:rRNA from 1 species
CCUACGGGAGGCUGCAGUGGGGAAUAUUGGACAAUGGGGGGAACCCUGAUCCAGCCAUGCCGCGUGUGUGAAGAAGGCCCUCGGGUUGUAAAGCACUUUCAGUGAGGAAGAACGCCUGGUGGUUAAUACCCAUCAGGAAAGACAUCACUCACAGAAGAAGCACCGGCUAACUCCGUGCCAGCAGCCGCGGUAAUACGGAGGGUGCGAGCGUUAAUCGGAAUUACUGGGCGUAAAGCGCGCGUAGGUGGCUUGAUAAGCCGGUUGUGAAAGCCUCGGGCUCAACCUGGGAACGGCAUCCGGAACUGUCAAGCUAGAGUGCAGGAGAGGAAGGUAGAAUUCCCGGUGUAGCGGUGAAAUGCGUAGAGAUCGGGAGGAAUACCAGUGGCGAAGGCGGCCUUCUGGACUGACACUGACACUGAGGUGCGAAAGCGUGGGUAGCAAACAGGAUUAGAUACCCCGGUAGUC